rnacentral:rRNA from 1 species
AUUGAACGCUGGCGGCAGGCCUAACACAUGCAAGUCGAACGGUAACAGGAAACAGCUUGCUGUUUCGCUGACGAGUGGCGGACGGGUGAGUAAUGUCUGGGAAACUGCCUGAUGGAGGGGGAUAACUACUGGAAACGGUAGCUAAUACCGCAUAACGUCGCAAGACCAAAGAGGGGGACCUUCGGGCCUCUUGCCAUCGGAUGUGCCCAGAUGGGAUUAGCUUGUUGGUGGGGUAACGGCUCACCAAGGCGACGAUCCCUAGCUGGUCUGAGGGGAUGACCAGCCACACUGGAACUGAGACACGGUCCAGACUCCUACGGGAGGCAGCAGUGGGGAAUAUUGCACAAUGGGCGCAAGCCUGAUGCAGCCAUGCCGCGUGUAUGAAGAAGGCCUUCGGGUUGUAAAGUACUUUCAGCGGGGAGGAAGGGAGUAAAGUUAAUACCUUUGCUCAUUGACGUUACCCGCAGAAGAAGCACCGGCUAACUCCGUGCCAGCCGCCGCGGUAA